GUCUCUGUAGCUCAAUGGUAGAGCGUGCAACUCUUUCCUAAUCGGUCUUCGGACCCAUUGAAAAUCCGUCUAUCCGCAGUAUGUGGGUUCGAAUCCCACCAGAGACA